rnacentral:rRNA from 1 species
AAGGGCACCACAAGAACGCGUGGAGCAUGUGGCUUAAUUUGACUCAACGCGGGAAAUCUUACCGGGUCCGGACACACUGAGGAUUGACAGGUAACAUCUCAUACUCACACUUCGGUGUGAUAUGAGUAUAAAUAUGCUAGUCCUUUCAUGAUUAUGUGAUAGGUGGUGCAUGGCCGUUCUUAGUUCGUGGAGUGAUCUGUCUGCUUAAUUGCGUUUCACUAUUGGAUCUAUAUACCGUGCAUGUGUUGCGGCAUUGACCCCUCAGUAUUCUCAAUAUCGAGUGCGCGUCUUUCGCUUAGCUCACUGCGCUUUAGAUCCUGAAAGCAACGAACGUGACCGCAACCUCUUGUUGCUUUCAUUACCCAAUGCGGGCAAUAUAUACUCGUAUAUAUAGUUCGCAUAAGAAAGCUUAUUAUUAUACACAAACUAGAGGGACCGCUGUUACUUUCUUAAACCAGAGGAAGGUUGCGGCAAUAACAGGUCUGUGAUGCCCUUAGAUGUUCCGGGCUGCACACGUGCUACAAUGAUUAUUGCAGUGUGCAUCUCAUUUUUUACUACACCGCAUGCGCGAGUCUAUUUAUUCUCACUCUCGGGUGGUUUAAAUACGAUCUCUGCGCGCGGUAAAGCCUACUUCGAAAGUAAGCGGGUAAUCAAUUAGAAGUAAUGAUUUCCUAUUUUUUUCUGCACACAUAUAUGUGGCGCAUCUACCCGGCUUGCCUUGUUGCAAGUUCUUUGUGCGUAGAUGUGUACUUUUUCCACAUGUGCAAUUGUCAAUUCAUGGUGGGGACAGACCAUUGUUUCAAUUGUUGGUCUCGGUCUUAACUAGGAAUGCCUUGUACGGGUCUUUGGUUCAACAAACCACCCGGAAUACGUCCCUGCCCUUUGUACACACCGCCCGUCGCUCUUACCGAUGGACUUCUCUGUGAGUUUGAGGGACUGUCUUUGGCGCUUAUAUCAUUGCUCGCAGUGAUAUACGCCAUUCUAGGAAACUUAAACGAACAGUGUGGUCUAAAGGAAAGAGAAGUCGUAACAAGGCAUCAGUAGGUGAACCUGCAGAAGGAUCA